rnacentral:rRNA from 1 species
AUGGAAGUUUUAAACGAGGAAAUCAACAAUGCCAACGAAUAUACAUCUGGGAAGAUAAGCUCUUGCCUAGAGGAGGAUGAUAUGCUUGGAAUUGAGCCACUCAAACUACAUUUCCCUUUUGCCCUUAACAAACAGAUGUCAUGCGAGAUUCAGCUAACCAAUGAGACAGACUCUUACAUUGCCUUCAAUGUCCAAAAUAUGAGCCCCAAGUCAUACAACACACAACCACAGAAAGACAUUAUGCCACCACGGUCCAAGUGUAACAUUGAAAUAACACUGCAGGCACAAGGCAAUGUGCCAAUAGAUAUGCAGCGUGCCAAUGAGUUUGUUGUGUGGAGCACCAAAGUGAAUGAUGGUAUUGCAUUUGAGGAUAUUACUAAAAGCAUGUUCAUCAAAGAGACAGUCAAUGUGGUUGAUGAGGUGAAUUUAGAUGUGGUUUUUGAUGUAAGUGGGCCACAAGAAGCAAGUGACAAAAUUAGUGAGCAGACAAUGCCACCUUUAAUACAGAUCAUAGAUGAUACAGCUGGGAAAAUCUAUUGCAUAGAUGCACAUCAGAAAGAGCCGUUCAUUAUAGUGGGUACCUCACUUGGGAAUGUUAAGACAUGGAACUAUGACACACAGAAAGUGGCCGGUUUGACUAAGGUCUCAGCAGAACCUGUUACGGAUGUUAAGUUCAUUGCACGAAAGGGAUGGUUUGUGGCAGUGUCAUCUGACUGUGUCGUCCAUGUGUACCACUACGAAAAGGAAAUGCGAAAAGUCACGAGUUUCAGAGCUCUGGGUCGUGCAGACGUUUGGUGUACAUUAGCCGUUCAUCCAACCCAGCCGUAUGUGCUGUCAGGAUGUGCUACGGAAAUAAAGCUUUGGGACCUGAAUUGCAUACAGACAUUUGAAGAGCACUCGGCUGCUAUCAUGGCCCUGAAAUUUAACCCGGAGGACACCAACAGUUUUGCAAGUGCUUCGCAUGAUACUACAAUAAAGGUUUGGAGUAUUGAUUCUCCCAAAUCCAAGUAUACUUUGUUUGGGCAUAGGCAUGUAGUGAACUUCCUGGAUUUCUUCACGCGUGAUGGUCAGCAGUAUUUGAUUAGUGGCUCUUGGGAUGCGACUGCCAAGAUAUGGGACAUGGACAAGAAGGAGUGCGUUCAUACACUUGAACAUGAGUCUGCAGUUUUUCAGGUCGUUUCCCAUCCCAAUCUUCCAGUUCUAAUUACAGGUACAAAGGAUGGUGAUGUUCAUGCGUGGAGCUCAAAUGAUUUCAGGUAA